GUAGGGUAAAUAAAAAUUGUCAUGUUUUCUUUAAAAAUGUCACCUGAAUUGCAAAUCAUGUUAUUGGAAUAGUCCACUAUAUUGCAAUCACCAACAAUUUCCUAAAACCUCAUGACUCAGAGACUCAUUUGCAGUACUCCUUCAUUUUCCUUUUAGCCUGUAAGAUUCAGGCACAGCUUAACCCCUCCAAAAGAAACUUGUUCCCAGAGAGGUUCCUCAGUGUGUUACAAACCACCUCAUCCCAGAAGUUUCUCACUUAUUUUUCUUCCAAGUUGGCAGUGAGACUGACAAAUUGACACCAAAAUGGCUCUGACAUGAACGCAGGGACAGGAGCCGCACCCAUCAGUACUUGCAGCACCAUAAGAAACAUACUUCAGCCGGCAGUGCUGCUCUCGAUAAAAAGGCAGCCCACGAGACAUUUACAGGGACCACAUUGGCUGUGCUAUUACCUGCACCACCUAAGUCACAUUCUUGUUGCAUAGUAAUCAGAAGAAGAGCCCCCAAAAUUCCCAAUUACUCGCUACCAUAACUUGUGAAAGGAUUCCAAGGUCAGUCACAUGGAUCUGGUUUAUGAUAAGAUGAAACAUCCUAAGACAAUCAAUUGGAAUACACCACCACAUUCUACCACGCUCAGUAAACGUCAGUGGUAUCCUGAAAACCUGACUACAGGUGACUUGACCUGCGCUCCCGUAAAAAAAAGUCAUCCCCAUUUCUAUAGGAUUUAGUAACAUGGGUUACUGUUCCUCCUCCCGGAUGGAAUGCCACGAGAAACUUAUCAGGUUCCUUCAAAGCAUCUCUUUUCAUUUUCCGGAAUGAUCAGCAGAGGAGAAAGGAGGGACUAUGAGUAUGGAAUGUCUCAAGCCAGCGCAUGGCUCAGAUGUCUGCCUCUUUGUUUACCUCUGUUCAACGAUGAGAACAAUGCGUGCCUUGUCAGAGACCUAAACGCGUUUACCAUCCGCACUUCCUAAGCACACGUGCGUGGCACAAGAAAAGAGUCAACAAACAAUCAAAGUAUACAGGUCAUGUGUGCACACUGGACGUCUACAUUCCCUGAAUGGAGUUUUCUUUUAAGAUGUAGCACUUGAGAAAGGAAUGACAUAAUAAUUUCUGACAAAGAGAAAUAGCGGAACAAUUGCAAAAUAAGAGAUGUUGUCAGUGCUGUGCGAAAAGGAAUUGGAAUAUUUUAACUUUCUCCUUUGUCUUUUGUUAAUGGGGAGAUCACUAGGAUUGAUUAUUUUCAUGUAUGACCGAGGUGCAUUUUCUUAAGAUGUAAAGAAAAUAAUCACGUUCUCUAUUUAUGUAGUGUUUAUAUGCGAGGUAACUUUUGUUGCGUAACAGUGAGAAUAAAUGAAGCAUCGACAAUUAGCAUCCUGCUAAAUUAAAUCUGGUGUGUGAACAAUAAAUGAUUUUCACCUGUCCACAUUUCAAGUGGCCAUUU